GAUGAACGCUGGCGGCGUGCCUAAUACAUGCAAGUCGAGCGAACAGAUGAGGAGCUUGCUCCUUCGACGUUAGCGGCGGACGGGUGAGUAACACGUAGGUAACCUACCUAUAAGACUGGGAUAACUUCGGGAAACCGGAGCUAAUACCGGAUAAUAUUUCGAACCGCAUGGUUCGAUAGUGAAAGAUGGCUUUGCUAUCACUUAUAGAUGGACCUGCGCCGUAUUAGCUAGUUGGUAAGGUAACGGCUUACCAAGGCAACGAUACGUAGCCGACCUGAGAGGGUGAUCGGCCACACUGGAACUGAGACACGGUCCAGACUCCUACGGGAGGCAGCAGUAGGGAAUCUUCCGCAAUGGGCGAAAGCCUGACGGAGCAACGCCGCGUGAGUGAUGAAGGUCUUCGGAUCGUAAAACUCUGUUAUUAGGGAAGAACAAACGUGUAAGUAACUGUGCACGUCUUGACGGUACCUAAUCAGAAAGCCACGGCUAACUACGUG
rnacentral:rRNA from 1 species